rnacentral:rRNA from 1 species
AGAGUUUGAUCCUGGCUCAGGAUGAACGCUGGCGGCGUGCUUAACACAUGCAAGUCGAACGAGCCUUCGGGCUAGUGGCGGACGGGUGAGUAACGCGUGGGAAUCUGCCCUUAGGAGGGGGAUAACGGCCGGAAACGGCCGCUAAUACCCCAUAUGCCGAGAGGUGAAACGAAUUUCGCCUGAGGAUGAGCCCGCGUCUGAUUAGCUAGUUGGUGGGGUAAAGGCCUACCAAGGCGACGAUCAGUAGCUGGUCUGAGAGGAUGAUCAGCCACACUGGGACUGAGACACGGCCCAGACUCCUACGGGAGGCAGCAGUGGGGAAUUUUCCGCAAUGGGCGAAAGCCUGACGGAGCAACGCCGCGUGAGGGAUGAAGGCCUCUGGGCUGUAAACCUCUUUUCUCAAGGAAGAAGACAUGACGGUACUUGAGGAAUAAGCCACGGCUAAUUCCGUGCCAGCAGCCGCGGUAAUACGGGAGUGGCAAGCGUUAUCCGGAAUUAUUGGGCGUAAAGCGUCCGCAGGCGGCCUUGUAAGUCUAGCGUUAAAGCGUGGAGCUCAACUCCAUUUAAGCGCUGGAAACUACAAGGCUGGAGUGUGGUAGGGGCAGAGGGAAUUCCCGGUGUAGCGGUGAAAUGCGUAGAUAUCGGGAAGAACACCAGUGGCGAAGGCGCUCUGCUGGGCCAUAACUGACGCUCAUGGACGAAAGCCAGGGGAGCGAAAGGGAUUAGAUACCCCUGUAGUCCUGGCCGUAAACGAUGAACACUAGGUGUCGGGGGAAUCGACCCCUCCGGUGUCGUAGCCAACGCGUUAAGUGUUCCGCCUGGGGAGUACGCACGCAAGUGUGAAACUCAAAGGAAUUGACGGGGGCCCGCACAAGCGGUGGUGUAUGUGGUUUAAUUCGAUGCAACGCGAAGAACCUUACCAGGGUUUGACAUCCUGCGAAUCCCUUGGAAACGAGGGAGUGCCUUCGGGAGCGCAGAGACAGGUGGUGCAUGGCUGUCGUCAGCUCGUGUCGUGAGAUGUUGGGUUAAGUCCCGCAACGAGCGCAACCCACGUCUUUAGUUGCCAGCAUUCAGUUGGGCACUCUAGAGAGACCGCCGGUGAUAAACCGGAGGAAGGUGUGGAUGACGUCAAGUCAUCAUGCCCCUUACAUCCUGGGCUACACACGUACUACAAUGCUACGGACAAAGGGCAGCAAACUCGCGAGAGCUAGCAAAUCCCAUAAACCGUGGCUCAGUUCAGAUCGUAGGCUGCAACUCGCCUACGUGAAGGAGGAAUCGCUAGUAAUCGCAGGUCAGCAUACUGCGGUGAAUACGUUCCCGGGCCUUGUACACACCGCCCGUCACACCAUGGAAGUUGGCCAUGCUCGUAGUCGUUACUCCAACCCUUGUGGAGGAGGACGCCGAAGGUGGGGCUGAUGACUGGGGUGAAGUCGUAACAAGGUA